rnacentral:lncRNA from 1 species
CUGGGACACUUUAAUUUCUCUCUCUGAGCCUUAGUUUCCUCAGCUCUGAAAGGGGAGGAUUAAGUGAACUAGCACCUCUAAAGCACCCUGCACAGUGCCUGGAGGAGGAGCUGAAGCAAGGCAGCCCUGGCUCUGAAUCCCAGUCCUGUCCGUGACUUCCUGGUGACCUUCCUGAGCCUCGGAUUCUUCAUUGGUAAAGCAGGCAGCAUCCCCUGG